UGCCUACAACUUAGUGUUAAUGCACCGAAUCCCAUUAGAACUAUGCAGUUAAGCAUGCUCAUGCUAGAGUAGUACUGGGAUGGGUGACCGCCCGGAAAGUCCCAAUAUUUUAAGUAC
rfam:Picea glauca, whole genome shotgun sequence.